rnacentral:rRNA from 1 species
AGUGAACGCUGGCGGUAGGCCUAACACAUGCAAGUCGAACGGCAGCACAGUAAGAGCUUGCUCUUACGGGUGGCGAGUGACGGACGGGUGAGGAAUACAUCGGAAUCUACUUUUUCGUGGGGGAUAACGUAGGGAAACUUACGCUAAUACCGCAUACGACCUACGGGUGAAAGCAGGGGAUCUUCGGACCUUGCGCGAUUGAAUGAGCCGAUGUCGGAUUAGCUAGUUGGCGGGGUAAAGGCCCACCAAGGCGACGAUCCGUAGCUGGUCUGAGAGGAUGAUCAGCCACACUGGAACUGAGACACGGUCCAGACUCCUACGGGAGGCGGCAGUGGGGAAUAUUGGACAAUGGGCGCAAGCCUGAUCCAGCCAUACCGCGUGGGUGAAGAAGGCCUUCGGGUUGUAAAGCCCUUUUGUUGGGAAAGAAAAGCAGCAGGUUAAUACCCCGCUGUUCUGACGGUACCCAAAGAAUAAGCACCGGCUAACUUCGUG